AUUUAGCAAUGAUGUGAAAUGCAGUAACCCGUUCAAUCGAUUUCUUAGAAAUUACUGAAAAUUAGAAUAACCCCUACAGUGAACGAAACUUACAGUGUAAAUAGUGCGUCGCUUCACCAUGCAACCUUGGACACUACGAGAACUACUACAUGUAAAGUGUGGAGCAACCCGGAGGAGAGAUGAGCAGAGACAUCCGAGUAACUUCUCCACUACUCGGCAACGUUGGUGAGUUUGCAUGUGUUUAGGUUAC
rnacentral:lncRNA from 1 species